UUCUGUAUGAUUCUCAGUGCUUUCCAUUUGCGUGUCCACAGGUUGCUGUAAGUGGUGCUUGACUGCAGUUUGCUCUCAUUUCAAGUGGUUUGCUGUCACAAAGCCAACAGGAAGUCCGGCCAUGGUUGAGCCAACUGAAGAUGGGUUGAAGGUGGCGUCCUCGUUUCCUCUCGAUACAUGUUGGAAAAUGGAGACUUUAGCCACCAAGACUGACGUGCCUGGAAACUUCCCUUCACGGGGUUUGUGACUGAAAUGCGUGUGGUCGACGGGAAGCCUGACGAGUACGGCCUGAAUCAUUCCAUCAACACCGGACGGAGUGAAACCUUUGUUGAAAACAGAUUAUAUGGUAACGUUGCAUUUAGCUUCAGUAAACUGUGAAGUUACAGCAGCAGAUUUACAUCACGUGGCUUCACAGGAAGUAGUCUGGACCUCAGCGCUGAGGUUCAAGCAGCUCUGCUUGCAGACGGCAUCCUUCCUGAAAAUGUUCUUCAUCUUCCUCAAACCAGAACUUUUACAUUGGUGCUGAAGUUCUAUAUAAAAACAGCCUGAAAUACAAAGUGAUGUUGUGCACUGAUUACCUCACACUUUCCAUGUUUCCUUCUACAGAGGAGUGUCCGCCUGAGUGUUUUGUCUGAUCUGUUGUUGAUCGUCUCAUUGACACUGCAUGCAGAUCUGACACCAGGGCUGGACUGGGACAAAAAAUGGUCCCGGGCAUUUUGACUGGAGACCGGCCCCCCAGGAAGUAGACUGUUGGUCGAGUUAACCUCCUGAACAUCUACAACACACGGUGGAAACCUGACAUUAAGACAGAGACUAGAGGUGAGACAUGAUCAUUGCUGAUUACUGAUGACAGAUUUAGAUAUGUUUUCAUAAACCUUUCAUUUGCCACAUCAAUAAACAGCACGGCAGGGCAAAAUAUGUUUUCUAACAUGGCAACCUUUAAAAAGUGAAAGGAGACAGAAAGACAGCUGAGAAAGAAUCAAACGGACUUUUUGAUGCAUUUUACACACAGUACUGGUGCAGAAUCUAGAAAAUGUG